GUGGUGGAUGGUCGGUGGUGAUAGUGUUGAUGACAAUGAUGUUUAGCACCAAAUUCAUAACCAAGGGUGUUCCAAGUAUGACCAUCCUGUCAUUUUAUAACACAUCAAGUGAUCACACAGAGGCUUCCCUCAUUGGUUUAAAGGUGAUAAUGGCUAUAGGUGUAGCUGUGUGAUUUGCUUCCCAAUGACAUGGUUCCCGGUUCAGUCCCACUGUGUGGAAUCUUGGACAGAUUUGAAACCAGAAUAUAAAGGAACACAGCUAAAUGCCACAAGGAAUGUUGUCCAGUAUUUUUUCUGAUUCUGCUGAUUUACCAACACCAACCAGUACCAACCAGUUCCAACCAGUUCUAGUACCAGCCAAUACAUAUCAAUAUAGAAAUCUUAAAGUGCUUAUGAAAUUACUUUGAGUAAGGAAA